rnacentral:rRNA from 1 species
GACGAACGCUGGCGGCGUGCUUAACACAUGCAAGUCGAACGGAAAGGCCCUGCUUUUGUGGGGUUCUCGAGCGGCGAACGGGUGAGUAACACGUGAGUAACCUGCCCUUGACUUUGGGAUAACUUCAGGAAACUGGGGCUAAUACCGGAUAGGAGCUCCUGCUGCAUGGUGGGGGUUGGAAAGUUUCGGCGGUUGGGGAUGGACUCGCGGCUUAUCAGCUUGUUGGUGGGGUAGUGGCUUACCAAGGCUUUGACGGGUAGCCGGCCUGAGAGGGUGACCGGCCACAUUGGGACUGAGAUACGGACCAGACUCCUACGGGAGGCAGCAGUGGGGAAUAUUGCACAAUGGGCGGAAGCCUGAUGCAGCAACGCCGCGUGCGGGAUGACGGCCUUCGGGUUGUAAACCGCUUUCGCCUGUGACGAAGCGUGAGUGACGGUAAUGGGUAAAGAAGCACCGGCUAACUACGUG